GCGGGACGCCCUCGUCUGGACUGAAGUAUUGUUGCUGUCAAGACUGGAAAGCUACAGGCGGACCUUCGCGCCAUGAACUGAGCAGUGUGUGUUGCGUCAGAAACAAGUUUGAGGAAGUUUAACAUUCUCUCAUGGUUUCUCUGUUUUGUGCUCAGAGAGCCUCGUGGCCACCGGUGAGUUUGUGGAAGAGCUCCUCGUUCAGUGUGUCGCUUUGCUGUCGUCCGCGAGUGGACAUGAAGAUAAAUUCCAAAAUCAGGCAGAGCUUGCCAGAUCUGCAGGAACUUCAAGAUGGCAGACGUCAAAGAGAGCUGCGCCACGUUCUGAAAGGCCUCCAGGAUACGAGGGGUUAACUGAAAACAACAAGAGGAGGUG